rnacentral:rRNA from 1 species
UACAGAGGGUGCAAGCGUUGUUCGGAAUUACUGGGCGUAAAGCGCGUGUAGGCGGUCUGAUAAGUCGAAUGUGAAAGCCCUCGGCUUAACCGAGGAAGUGCAUUUGAUACUGCCAGACUUGAGUACCGGAGGGGGUGGCGGAAUUCCUGGUGUAGAGGUGAAAUUCGUAGAUAUCAGGAGGAACACCUGUGGCGAAGGCGGCCACCUGGACGGUAACUGACGCUGAGACGCGAAAGCGUGGGUAGCAAACAGG